rnacentral:siRNA from 1 species
CCAAGUGUCAUUAGCUCAAUUGGU